rnacentral:rRNA from 1 species
AUGAAGAGGGACCUCCUGGAGGCAUCCCCGUACCUGCACGACGACUGCCUCAUCAUCCACUGCGACAUCACCGUCCUCCUCAACAAAAUACCGGUCGUGGCCACACCCAACGCCAAGACGCCGCCCGAGAUCCUGGGGCCGCCAUCGGACCUGUCCAACAAUCUCGCAAAGCUGCUGGAGGGGAAGAAAGGAGCGGACGUGGUGAUCAAAGUUGGUGGGAACGUGCUCGCGAUGCGCUCACCGGUGUUCGACGCAGAGCUCUACGGGCCAAUGUGGGACGACAAGAAACAGUGUCUACAGAUCGCCGACAUGGAGCCUGAUGUAUUCAGAGCACUGCUUCACUUCAUAUAUAUAGAUUCGUUGCCUGCCAUGGAUGAUAACAACAAGGUGAUUAUUAGGCACUUGCUUGUGGCUGCAGACAGGUAUGCUAUGGGAAGGAUGAAGCUCAUGUGUGAGAGUUUUCUGUGCAAGAGCCUCGAUGCCAAGAGUGUCGUAGCCACAUUGGGUCAUUGGCUCUAG